AAUUAAUAUGGGAUGGAAACAUGGGGGAGUUGUGAGCUGCCUUUUUAAGUCUACAACUCACGAGUGGACGUCUAAAAGGUUCAAUAGGGCGCAUAGUGCGGGCUUCGUUUUUGUUGCUGUACUGGAGGCUGAGUCCCGGAUGGGUUUUGUUGCUACGAUUUUGGCGAAUAUUUCCAGGGUUUGGGGGGGUCUUGGACUUGCCUGUCAUUGGAUGUACUCCCUCUCUGUCUUGAAAAUCUGCAAAUUCUCGGCUGUUGGUGGGUCCUGGAGGUUGUGAACUUGUUUCAUUAUUUUUGCGUCUUUCCAUUUUAUUU
rnacentral:lncRNA from 1 species